ACCAAGAUGGUUCAAUUGGUAGAGCAUGAGACUCUUCAUCUCUGGGUCAUGGGUUUGAGCCCCUCAUUGGGCA